rnacentral:rRNA from 1 species
GAUGAACGCUAGCUACAGGCUUAACACAUGCAAGUCGAGGGGAAACGAUAGAGAAAGCUUGCUUUUUCUAGGCGUCGACCGGCGCACGGGUGAGUAACGCGUAUCCAACCUGCCCAUCACUUGGGGAUAACCUUGCGAAAGUAAGACUAAUACCCAAUGACGUCUCUAGAAGACAUCUGAAAGAGAUUAAAGAUUUAUCGGUGAUGGAUGGGGAUGCGUCUGAUUAGCUGGUUGGCGGGGUAACGGCCCACCAAGGCGACGAUAAGUAGGGGUUCUGAGAGGAAGGUCCCCCACAUUGGAACUGAGACACGGUCCAAACUCCUACGGGAGGCAGCAGUGAGGAAUAUUGGUUAAUGGGCGAGAGCCUGAACCAGCCAAGUAGCGUGCAGGAUGACGGCCCUAUGGGUUGUAAACUGCUUUUAUAAGGGAAUAAAGUGAGUCUCGUGAGACUUUUUGCAUGUACCUUAUGAAUAAGGACCGGCUAAUUCCGUGCCAGCCGCCGCCGUAA